GCGCGAUCACGGAGACGCGUCGACAACACGAAAUAUUGCUGAGAAAACGAGGCGCUAAUUUUCAAAAGCAGGAAUUUUGCGAGUGCUGAAGAUGAUGCCCAGAUGCUGUCACACCAUCCCAACCUUAUCCUGAUGGCCUUUACAAACUUCUGAGGAGAAAAUGAUGCGUUUCCCCACAGACGUUCAGACGGGGAAAAGACUUGCAGACACACCACCUGGAUCCCGGACUGGCAGGGACCGACACACUGCUUCAGAUGAAAAGUUCGACAAAUGGCUGCCCGACUCCCAUCG